GCUUCCUUGGCUCAGCCGGUAGAGCGUCAGUCUCAUAUAGAUCGAACUAUCUGAAGGUCGUGAGUUCGAGCCUCACAGGGAGCA